rnacentral:rRNA from 1 species
CUACGGGGGGCAGCAGUGAGGAAUAUUGGUCAAUGGGCGGGAGCCUGAACCAGCCAAGUCGCGUGAGGGAAGACGGUCCUAUGGAUUGUAAACCUCUUUAGGCGGGGAGCAAUGCCGGGCACGCGUGCCCGGAGGGAGAGUACCCGCAGAAUAAGCAUCGGCUAAUUCCGUGCCAGCAGCCGCGGUAAUACGGAGGAUGCGAGCGUUAUCCGGAUUUAUUGGGUUUAAAGGGUGCGUAGGCGGAUCGUUAAGUCAGUGGUCAAAUUGAGGGGCUCAACCCCUUCCCGCCAUUGAAACUGGCGUUCUUGAGUGGAAGAGAAGUAUGCGGAAUGCGUGGUGUAGCGGUGAAAUGCAUAGAUAUCACGCAGAACCCCGAUUGCGAAGGCAGCAUGCCGGCUUCCGACUGACGCUGAAGCACGAAAGCGUGGGGAUCGAACAGGAUUAGAUACCCUGGUAGUC